UUUAUAGAAGACAGCUGAGUAUUGAAGGAGCAAGUAACAGCCAUCAAAUAAUGCUUCAGCUAGGACAUAAAUUACGGUUCCUGUGGUCAAGGCUGUCAAAAUGAUUCCACAAAGAAAUCAGGAGUUAAUGAAAACCAUGAAAGCCAAAUUUGGAUGUUAAUCUGGAUGGGAUCAGCUCCUUACUCCUUGUUAUUGAAAGUCAGGCCCACAGACUGGCAUCAGAGGUCCCAGAGUUUGAAUAUGGAAAAUAUAGAGAAGAAAUUCAUCCCGGGCAGAGAAAGGCCAGCCCACCUCCAGGAUGGUGUCACUGAUGGUACUUGGUCCAAUAUUGUGCAGCUGUAAACAAGUGACAUGUUAUCUAAUGACCCAGCAGAAGGCAGAGAGAUAAAAUCAAACUCCAUAUACUCUAUACCCAUUUUAGAAAGCAUGUAUUAUUGGUUUUAAGUCAUCUGGACUAUGACUAUGGAAAAGAAAAUUCAAAGUCGAUAUGGCAAGAAGCACUCUGAAAGCAUCAUGGGCUGGUGUUUAGAGAAAACUCUUCAAUCUGUGAAGCUCUAAGAGUGGAUUUCCUCAGUUGAAGACCAUACUACCCUUGUCUGAUAACUGUGAUGCUAGUUUUAAAUUUAUGUUAAUUUAAUCAUAGCGCUAGAAAUUUUAAUUUUGAUUUUAUGCCUUCAAAACUUAGUGACUGUCUCUUUACGUUGAAAUCUGCCUCCGCUUUCUUGACUACUGACUGUCAAUUGCAACCAUAUGUGAUGCACUCUCUUUCACCCUCUGGAAGAAUGUCCAUCCAUCAAGUGCCAAGGCGGGCCCAUGAUCACCACAGUUCAUUUCGAGUGCGUGUUUCAAAGCUGAGCUCCUUCUGUUUCCAUCAGCAAAUCUCAAGGCAAGAAAGGCCACAUCUCAUAAAGAGAUGAACAUUUUUUAACACGUGAAUCCUAUACUUGGAGGACACAAAAUUGUUUGCCCAAAACACUAAGUGCAUUUACAUUUAUUCCAGUGUUUUAAAAAUUUAAAGUCAGCAGGGAUUUUCUUCUUUUUCUUUUUUUCUCAGUUCUGAAAAUUACAGUGAUCUAUAAAACAAUGGAUAAUUGCUUUUGCUUUUUAGAUGGCCUAUUUAAUUCACCUUAUCAAAGAAGCUUGGCAACCACUGAUAUAGUAUAUUUUGAGUCACGAGAUUAGCAAUGUACAGAAUAUUUGAUGAUUGCUUUUUGCACUACCAGUAACUACCCUUAACUUUCAUGAUCCACAUUUAUGCUAAGAUUUGAAGCAGGACUGCCCUGAGAAUGAUUGGGUCUGAAUAUAUUUUCAGACUUUAAAGUUUCCCCAUUCUUGAGCAGAAACCAGGACACACAGCUUUAUUAAAUUAUUUGACAGCUUUUUUUUUCUUUUUUCCAGUGAGGUUCUUAAUCAGAGUGGCCUUGGAGACUGUGUUAUCCUUUUGCUAUCAAAAGAGCUUAAGGCAAAGCUUUGAUCCAGCUUUGGACAAGGCUCCUGAGUCUGGGCCACAGGUUGGGCAGAUGAUGGAGGGUUUCAUGCUGAUGCUGCCCAGGAGUUGAGGCAUCUUCCCUACGUUUGUAAACAGUUCAUCACUUUUGAAAAGGCUUUAUUGUUAAUCUUAGAGGAUGUUAUUCAUGUCCCUUGUAGCUCAAGAUGAAAGUCAUAGUCAGAAUUACUAGAUUAGAGGCAUGAGUUACAUAGGAAAGGAACAGAAGGCAUUAAUCGAGAAGGAACCUCAAACAGAACGCCUUGGAACAUGGUUUUACCAAAAUUCCAUGCCUGGUCCCUUGAAAACGAAUAGGAAUAACUACUCUUUACUGCUAGCAUUGACUUUAUUU